rnacentral:rRNA from 1 species
AUUGAACGCUGGCGGCAUGCCUUACACAUGCAAGUCGAACGGCAGCACGGGUGCUUGCACCUGGUGGCGAGUGGCGAACGGGUGAGUAAUACAUCGGAACAUGUCCUUUAGUGGGGGAUAGCCCGGCGAAAGCCGGAUUAAUACCGCAUACGAUCCACGGAUGAAAGCGGGGGACCUUCGGGCCUCGCGCUAUAGGGUUGGCCGAUGGCUGAUUAGCUAGUUGGUGGGGUAAAGGCCUACCAAGGCGACGAUCAGUAGCUGGUCUGAGAGGACGACCAGCCACACUGGGACUGAGACACGGCCCAGACUCCUACGGGAGGCAGCAGUGGGGAAUUUUGGACAAUGGGCGAAAGCCUGAUCCAGCAAUGCCGCGUGUGUGAAGAAGGCCUUCGGGUUGUAAAGCACUUUUGUCCGGAAAGAAAUCCUUGGCUCUAAUACAGUCGGGGGAUGACGGUACCGGAAGAAUAAGCACCGGCUAACUACGUG